rnacentral:rRNA from 1 species
UACGGAGGGUGCAAACGUUGCUCGGAAUCAUUGGGCGUAAAGCGCACGUAGGCGGCCCGUUAAGUCGGAUGUGAAAGCCCAGGGCUCAACCCUGGAAGUGCAUUCGAUACUGGCAGGCUUGAAUAUGGAAGAGGGUCGCGGAAUUCCCGGUGUAGAGGUGAAAUUCGUAGAUAUCGGGAGGAACACCAGUGGCGAAGGCGGCGACCUGGGCCAAUAUUGACGCUGAGGAGCGAAAGCCAGGGGAGCAAACGGG